UACGGGGGGUGCAAGCGUUAAUCGGAAUUACUGGGCGUAAAGGGUGCGUAGGUUGUGUAUUAAGUUAUCUGUAAAAUCCCUGGGCUUAACCUGGGCAGGUCAGAUAAGACUGAUAGACUCGAGUAAGGGAGAGGGUAGUGGAAUUUCCGGUGUAGCGGUGAAAUGCGUAGAGAUCGGAAGGAACACCGGUGGCGAAGGCGGCUACCUGGCCUAAUACUGACACUGAGGCACGAAAGCGUGGGUAGCAAAC
rnacentral:rRNA from 1 species